rnacentral:piRNA from 1 species
UGGAGACACAGGACGUUCUGAGAUGG